UACGUAGGGCGCAAGCGUUGUCCGGAAUUAUUGGGCGUAAAGAGCUCGUAGGCGGUUUGUCACGUCGGAUGUGAAAGCCCGGGGCUUAACCCCGGGUCUGCAUUCGAUACGGGCAGACUGGAGUGUGGUAGGGGAGAUCGAAUUCCUGGUGUAGCGGUGAAAUGCGCAGAUAUCAGGAGGAACACCGGUGGCGAAGGCGGAUCUCUGGGCCAUUACUGACGCUGAGGAGCGAAAGCGUGGGGAGCGAACAGG
rnacentral:rRNA from 1 species